UUUUUGAGAAGAUUUUGAAAAUACCUGUCAACGUGUUAAAUGAACAUGAACAUUUCAUGCAGCAAUUCUUCUAGGCCUUAUGCAAAAUACCUGCAAAUGUAGAUGUACGAUGUUAUCUCAUACGAAAUAUUAUUCACAAGUGUGUAAGUGCCUUCCUGGUCAUUACAGAAUUAUGAGUAAUGAUUUUUUAAAAAGUAUUGCUUUUAAAAAGAAAAAGACUAAAAAAAAAAAAAAAAACGAUGUCCAUGAUAUAUUUAUUGUGUGAGGUUGGAGGUACUCAUCGAUCACUCCUGCUCUCUGAUUUCUAACAUAUUCGUAAUGAAUCCUAAGAACCAACUAACAUCAGUUUUAUUGAAGUGGGAUAAGAGGACUCAGUGGUGUGUCCAACCACGUCCCACAAACCCAGACUUGACUUUUCACAAGUUUUGAAAAAGCUUGUUUUGAAAUUCUAGUUUUGAAAAAAAAAAUCCUAUAAUUAUAAUACUAAUUCUUCUGGAAUCUUGAAGCAUGGAAAGAACAGGGCCCCCGGUAGCCUCAUAGGAAAUCGUAUGAGCAGCCUAGGGUCACCACCGGGCAGGUGGCAGAGUCGAGAUUAAAAGUCUGAUUUGACAGCAGGACCGGCGCCUUCCCCCUUCAAGCCUUUCCUCAGCCCCACAGAUCAGAUCCCUGCAGUAAGCCCCAUCUCCAGGGAACACCGCUCCUGGGACCAAGUCUUUGGGAUGCCCUCGGCAAACUCAUCCCUAACUUUAACAUGACCCUUUGACCUUUCCCACUGUCACCUCGGCUCUUUCUCUAAAACACUGAAGCCAAAGUGGUCCCUCCAGCUCCUCUUCCCCGCUCGGGAAAUGGCACCAUGUCCUUGGAGCUGUCCUAUCGCACCAGGCAGGCCCUGCCCUGGAGUCAGCCAGGACACUUAUGACUCCGUCCCUUGCUCCCUCCCCCACCUGCCUCCUCUCUUAAGAAGCCCAGAAUCUUGUUGUGUGUGUGUUUUUUUUAAGAUUUUAUCUAUUUAUUCAUGAGAGACACAGAGAAAGAGAGAGAGGCAGAGACACAGGCAGAGGGAGAAGCAGGCUCCAUGCAGGGAGCCUGAUGGGGGGCUCGAUCCCAGGACCCAAGGAUCACGACCUGAGCUGAAGGCAGAUGCUAACCACUGAGCCACCCAGGCGCCCCCAGAAUCUUAUUUUGCCUUCAGUUGCAGAACUUGCCCUCCAUCAAUGUCCUAGGCUUCCAUUUUUCCAUUCCUAACUACCUCAUGACAUUUUUGUUUUUCUCCUGCCCGGUGGGUUUCAAUGCCCUGGUGCCUUGUGUUUCAUGGUACCUCCUUAGAAACACAGGCAGCCUGGCCUGGACCCCCAGCUCCUUUAAGACCUGGGAAAUCCAGUCUUUUGCCUCAAUUUUCCAGUGUGUACAGUGGGAGUGGGUAGUCACAGUGUCUCUCCUGGGGAAUUCAUCCUGAAGAUCAAAUGAGAUAAUGCACCUCCCUGUACAUUGAAAGCUCUCCCUAGAGGUUAAAAUCACCAUCUUAAAAAAUAAUAAUAAAUAAAUAAAUAAAUAAAUAAAUAAUAAAUAAAUAAAUCACCACCUUAUUGCAGAAUGGUUGCGCAUGGCAACUUCGGAGGGAUCUACCUAUAAUGGGUUUCUUGACACAAGGCAGAAGGCUGUAAAUAAAUGUGAGGCACUUUCUCACCCCAACCUCAUAGUUGGACAGCAGCACAGUUUUCUGUUUGAGAACUUUGUGGCCCUGACACCACUUGCAGUGCCCCGAGGGAGGUGGAAGGGGGCUGGGGGGUGGGCAGCCAGAGAGCAACUGAGAUCCCCAGGGAAGGAGAGGAGUUUCUGGAAGGAGAUUGGAAAAAUGGCAAAGGAAAACUUUCUGGGCUCCGAUAUUGCCAAAAAACACAUCCCAAACCCUGCUCCUCCCUCUUUCCAAGCUGUCCCCCAAAGUCUCUCCAAACCCCGCCAUGUGCCAAAAGGCAGUUUACCUGGCCAGUCAGCACUGCCCACCCAACUGAUGGACACCCCACCCCCCACACCCCAUCAGCCAGCUUUGCAAGAACUGGGAUCUCAGGGCCCCGACAACCUGCCUGCCUCCCGUAAGUGGUG
rnacentral:lncRNA from 1 species